AGCAUAUCAAUAAGCGGAGGAAAAGAAACCAACAGGGAUUACCUCAGUAACGGCGAGUGAAGCGGUAACAGCUCAAAUUUGAAAUCUGGGUCUUUCAGGCUCCGAGUUGUAAUUUGUAGAAGAUGCUUUGGGUGCGGCCCCGGUCUAAGUUCCUUGGAACAGGACGUCAUAGAGGGUGAGAAUCCCGUAUGUGAUCGGUGGCUUGCGCCCGUGUAAAGCUCUUUCGACGAGUCGGGUUGUUUGGGAAUGCAGCUCUAAAUGGGUGGUAAAUUUCAUCUAAAGCUAAAUAUUGGCCAGAGACCGAUAGCGCACAAGUAGAGUGAUCGAAAGAUGAAAAGGACUUUGGAAAGAGAGUUAAACAGUACGUGAAAUUGUUGAAAGGGAAGCGCUUGCAACCAGACUUGCGCGGGGUUGAUCAUCCGGGGUUCUCCCCGGUGCACUCGGCCUCGCUCAGGCCAGCAUCGGUUUCGGUGGUUGGAUAAAGGCCUUGGGAAUGUGACUUCUUUCGGGGAGUGUUAUAGCCCUCGGUGCAAUGCAGCCUACCGGGACCGAGGACCGCGCUUCGGCUAGGAUGCUGGCGUAAUGGUUGUAAGCGACCCGUCUUGAAACACGGACCAAGGAGUCUAACAUCUAUGCGAGUGUUUGGGUGUCAAACCCAUACGCGUAAUGAAAGUGAACGGAGGUGAGAACCCUUAAGGGUGCAUCAUCGACCGAUCCUGAUGUCUUCGGAUGGAUUUGAGUAAGAGCAUAGCUGUUGGGACCCGAAAGAUGGUGAACUAUGCCUGAAUAGGGUGAAGCCAGAGGAAACUCUGGUGGAGGCUCGCAGCGGUUCUGACGUGCAAAUCGAUCGUCAAAUUUGGGCAUAGGGGCGAAAGACUAAUCGAACCAUUGUGGGAGCAGUU
rnacentral:rRNA from 1 species